rnacentral:tRNA from 1 species
GGCAUUGUGGCUUAAUGGAAAGAACACGGACCUGUGUGUCAGAGGACCUGGAUUCUAAUUCCAGCUCUGCCA